rnacentral:rRNA from 1 species
UGGGGAAUUUUGGACAAUGGGGGAAACCCUGAUCCAGCCAUCCCGCGUGUGCGAUGAAGGCCUUCGGGUUGUAAAGCACUUUUGGCAGGAAAGAAACGUCAUGGGUUAAUACCCCGUGAAACUGACGGUACCUGCAGAAUAAGCACCGGCUAACUACGUGCCAGCAGCCGCGGUAAUACGUAGGGUGCAAGCGUUAAUCGGAAUUACUGGGCGUAAAGCGUGCGCAGGCGGUUCGGAAAGAAAGAUGUGAAAUCCCAGAGCUCAACUUUGGAACUGCAUUUUUAACUACCGGGCUAGAGUGUGUCAGAGGGAGGUGGAAUUCCGCGUGUAGCAGUGAGAUGCGUAGAUAUGCGGAGGAACACCGAUGGCGAAGGCAGCCUCCUGGGAUAACACUGACGCUCAUGCACGAAAGCAUGGGGAGCAAACAGG